rnacentral:rRNA from 1 species
UACAGAGGGUGCAAGCGUUAAUCGGAAUUACUGGGCGUAAAGCGUGCGUAGACGGUUAUGUAAGUCAGAUGUGAAAGCCCCGGGCUUAACCUGGGAAUGGCAUUUGAGACUGCAUAGCUAGGGUGCGGAAGAGGGAAGCGGAAUUUCCGGUGUAGCGGUGAAAUGCGUAGAUAUCGGAAGGAACACCCGUGGCUAAGGCGGCUCUCUAGUACGGUACUGACGCUGAGACGCGAAAGCGUGGGGAGCGAACAGG